rnacentral:rRNA from 1 species
GAUGAACGCUGGCGGCGUGCUUAACACAUGCAAGUCGAACGAGAAGUGGAGACGGACACCUUCGGGCGGAAGACUUUAUUUCGAGUGGCGGACGGGUGAGUAACGCGUGGGUAACCUGCCUCAUACAGGGGGAUAACAGUUGGAAACGACUGUUAAUACCGCAUAAGACCACCGCACCGCAUGGUGCGGGGGUAAAAACUCCGGUGGUAUGAGAUGGACCCGCGUUCGAUUAGCCAGUUGGCGGGGUAACGGCCCACCAAAGCGACGAUCGAUAGCCGAUCUGAGAGGAUGACCGGCCACAUUGGGACUGAGACACGGCCCAAACUCCUACGGGAGGCAGCAGUGGGGAAUAUUGCACAAUGGGGGAAACCCUGAUGCAGCGACGCCGCGUGAGUGAAGAAGUAUUUCGGUAUGUAAAGCUCUAUCAGCAGGGAAGAAAAUGACGGUACCUGAGGAAGAAGCCCCGGCUAACUACGUG